GCUUUCGUAGCUCAGUUGGUAGAGCAGCUGAUUCGUAAUCAGCAGGUCAAGGGUUCGAGUCCCUUCGAAAGCU
rnacentral:tRNA from 1 species